GUAUGAACCUACAAUCAACCCUGUCCUUUUGUGUCCCCAAGAUAUGCUUUUUGAGGGCAGGACAUGUGCACAUCCACAAACCCAAACAUAGCUGUCAAGCAUCUCCAGUCCCAAUCUCACAGGAGACAGCUCGUAGGAACACCAUGGGGCUUACAAAGGAUUUUCAGGCCCAGAAACCAGUGUUAUAAAUAUAUAUUUAUGAAACACCAGAGCUAUAAUCAAAUGUAUACAAGAACUAGAACUUAAGAACUCAGUGAACUGAGACAACUGAGAGUUUAAAGCAUCAGUAGAAAAUUUCACUGGAUGUUUAUCAGUCAGCAAUAUUGAUGAAAUACUUGAAUGAUUCCUACAUCUAACUUAUGGAGUACAUGAAGCUGCAGCAAGGCUUAAUUUUGUGCAGGAAUGCCAACCCAAUUCCUUCUACCAACCCUCUCUAUGAAGAGGAGUGAUCGGGCAAAUCUCUUGAGAAAAGGAGACCUAACAACUCCUUACCCAUAUUGCCAUGGAGACACCCACACAAACAGAGCACCUCCUUCUUCCAGAGUCUCCAGUCAUUCCCGGCUCCAGGGCCAUACAGUGAGAGACGGAGCACACCAGAAGUUCAGGCUUCCUAAGCUAGAACUGCUAACUGCUUCCUACAGAGGAACAACAGAAGAACCACUGCACAAAGCAAUUAAGAGACAAGAAUGACCUUCAAGGAAGAGGAAAUUCAAAGUUUCCUAUCACCCAUUGUGUUCUACAGGAAGAAGGACACACCUGAUGGCAACCAGAUGGGAAUUUCUGGUCAGUCAGUCAGUUUGGUGUCCUGGAGAGAGAAAAAAAUGUUCCAUGAAGAAAUCACUUUGAAGCUGAAUUUUUCACUGCUGCAGUACUUGGGACACUCAUUUUUUUCCAGCCUUUCUCUAACUCUUGUUAUCACUGCUGCUGACUCAUCUCCUGAUGCUGAAGGAAAAACAGUUUUAUGGGAACAUGAAGAGGUCACCACUGAAUUAUCUUUGGCUGUUAUAAAUGGCUCUGCAAAUCAUUC
rnacentral:lncRNA from 1 species